AGUGAACGCUGGCGGCGUGCCUAAUACAUGCAAGUCGAACGAAGUGGCGCGCGGGUGGGUAAGAUAUAGUUAAUCUGCCCCACACUGAGGAACAACAGUUGGAAACGGCUGCUAAUACCACAUAGUGUAGGAUGAGACUAUAUCGUAUCAGCUAGUUGGUAAGGUAAUGGCUUACCAAGGCUAUGACGCGUAACUGGUCUGAGAGGAUGAUCAGUCACAUGGGACCUGAGACACGGUCCAAACUCCUACGGGAGGCAGCAGUAAGGUAUAUUGCGCAUUGUGGGACAGCCAGAAGCGGCAUCGCCGCGUGGAGGAUGGUCGUCAUCGGAGGAUGUGUUCCAGUUACAAAGAGAGCGUUACCAGAAGAAUAAGCACCGGCUAACUCCGUGCCAGCAGCCGCGGUAAUUC
rnacentral:rRNA from 1 species